UACGUAGGGUGCAAGCGUUAAUCGGAAUUACUGGGCGUAAAGCGUGCGCAGGCGGCUUUGCAAGACAGAUGUGAAAUCCCCCGGGGCUUUAACCUGGGGAACUGCAUUUGUGACUGCAUGGCUGGAGUGCGGGCAGAGGGGGGAUGGAAUUCCGGCGUGUAGCAGUGAAAUGCGUUAGAUAUGCGGAGGAACACCCGAUGGCGAAGGGCAAUCCCCCUGGGCCUGCACUGACGCUCAUGCACGAAAGCGUGGGGAGCAAACAGG
rnacentral:rRNA from 1 species